GUCUACAGCCAUGCUACCCUGAUCAAGCCCUAUGCUGUCUGAUCUCGGAAGCUAAGCAGAGUCGGGCCUGGUUAGUACUCGGAUAGGAGAGACCACCUAGGAAGACCAGGUGCUGUAGGUG
rnacentral:rRNA from 1 species